CCUCUGAUCACAAAGAUUGGCUCAGGCAGAUCAGAGCCUUUAUGAAGACUUUUGCUGGAACUAUAGAGCCAGAGUUGCCCUUGUUUUUAGGGUCUUGGAUGUCAAGAAAUUUGAACUCAGAGUUAUCAACGGCCAUGCUGAUGGAGAGAAUCUGCCUUGAUUAAGAAGCAAUUCAGAGGGAAACUGAACCAGGAGAUGAUUUCGAUAUGUCUUUGGAAGCACCAAAGAAAAAUUUGACCUUCACUAAUGCCGCAAUCAGCAGCUUGACUUCAGGGCAUCCUCAGAAGGGUUGGGCCUGAGAUCCAAAGGGCCUCUCCAAAGACCAUGGGAACAAUGGAAGAAACAAUGGAGAAAAUGAUGUUCUCUUUCCACUGAGAUUACUGAAUUGAUACACGCUGGAACUGCUGAGAACCAUCUUUUCAUGGAGGUGAAAUCAUGUUUGAGAGUUAAGUCAACCUACGGGAAAGAGCAGCUUGGGGAUAAAGAAAAACAUGCUCUUGAUGACAUCAUUUAAACCCCUGGAUCCAGCGACACCUGAACCAAAAUUAUCCAUGGACUUUUUAUAUGAGCUAGUAAGUGGCUUUGCCCUGCUACUGCUUUUACUUGUUGUUUACCAAAUGGGUUGAGUUCUAUCACCUGAAACCAAAAGUCUGACUAAUGCAAAGCUGAGUGAUUAUGCUGAAGGAAAUGCAUCAGGUUAUGGGCAAAGUCAAAACUAAAAUUGAGGUACCCUUCCUUUUAAGCUAUUCUGUUAUGCUGCCUUUCCUUCAUUUCAUAUAAUGGCUGUUGAUCAAUUUCUUUUGAUUACACUAUACAGUGGAAGUCAUUUAGUCCUUUUAGUCAAUCUUGAUUCGUACAAAUGGCUUGAGUUUUUAUGCGAUUUCCUCUCAUCUGGCCUGUAAGUUUCAACAGCUUCUCAAAGGAAUAUCACUGACAAAUAGAAUUUGUGACAACAUUGAAUACCCUGGUUUAGUUUGGGAAGUAACAAAGAGGAAGGAAAAGAGGGUAAUUUCAAAAUGCCAAUGAAAAGUAAGGAAGAGAUUGAUGACCUUUUUUGUUGUUUCCGGCAGAUUUAUAUCGUAAUAAAAAAUUUGUUCUGCAAUCAUUUAGCCCAUGUGGUUGAUAUUAGACUUUUCAGUCAAAACUGUUCAUGUCUUUAAGAGGCUCUGAAGCUUUUUAUUUAAGUGAAGGAUGCUGCUAAAUUGUUGAACUCAACAUUCCCCCUGAAGUUCUUUCAAGAUUGUUAUUAUGAAUAGUCCAGUUUUAAGAAAUUCCAGAUGAAUUGUGCAAACUAAGAUGAAAGUCAAAGCUUACAAGCAGCUGUGCACAGGAAUUAUGCAGAGGUAUGCAAAUUUUAACCCCAGUGAUGAUGGAAAUAACCUUAUGAUUCAGUAAUAAUAAUAAGUGCUCUAAUCUAAUGGUGAGCCAAGAGGUACAAAGGGUACUUGGAAUUAAUAAGAAGUAAAGAGGGCUUCCCCACACACACAAUAUCAGGUUAUUUGUCUGAAUUCCUUGUUAUUCAGUACAGUUCACCAUAGAAACAAAUAUUAACAAUAACAUGUUCAUAGCACAGGUACUUGUCUUUAAAUGUAAAUCUGUUGUAUAGAAAUUCAAUCCUUAAGCUUCCAUAAGACAGGGUACAGUAGUCCCCCCUUAUCCAAAAGGGACAUGAUUAAACCCACACAUUCUACCAAACCCUAUAUAUACUAUGUUUUGUUCUCUACAAACCUAUCUGUGGUAAAGUUAAAUUAUAAAUUAAGUACAGUAGUAGAUUAAUAAUAAUCAUAAAAUAGAACAAUAACACCAUACUGUAAUGAAAGUUAUAUGAAUAUGGCUUUUCUCUCUCUCAAAAUUAUCUUGCUGUCUAUAUUUAAUGCCUUUUUCAUCUUUACUAAGCACUUUGCACACAACUUAGCUGUAACUUAAAGUUUAAAGUGCACUAGCAAAUUAGCCCACAUUUCUUUGUUGUUCUUUAGCAUUUCAUUGAUAGAAGAUUAGUUGUUACUGGAGAUCUUUAGCAACCUCAGCAUAUGAUUUUUUUUUUUUUUACCUUUCAAGUGGAGAACUUGCACAUUUUCCCUUGAAGAAAACACUUUAAAGCUUCUCUUUCGACAUCUGAACUGCCAGCAUCACUACUGUUUUGAUUUGGGGUUAUUGUUGAGUAAAUAAGGGUUACUUGAAUGUAAGCACUUCAAUACCAGGACAGUUGACCUGUUAACCAAGAGGACUCCUAAUAAUAAAUUGGUGGAAUGCCCUGGACAAAGGGAUGACUUGGUAUCUGGUGGUAUGGAGUAGGAAGGCUGAGAUUUGAUCAUGGCAUACAAUUUAAAAUUUAUGAAUUGUAUGUUUCUGGAAUUUUCCCCUUAAUAUUUUUUAAAUGACUAGCUGAUCAUGAGUAACUGAAAUGGUGUAAAGCACAGCCAAGGAUAAGUGUGGCCUACUGUAUACACUGAUUAAUUUUUUCAGAAGCUAAAUCCUUUAUCUUAAGAAACCUGAUGACGGGUAGAGUUUGGUGGCAAGACUUGGUCAAGGCUUUCUAUAUUGGGAAAGGAAAAAGGAGAAAGGAAGCUACUGGGCUUGAGACAAUGUAACAAGAAGAUUCCAGAGCUGGACAGGUGCUAUAAACUUAUAGGUAUAUGAAUGACUGUCACUGAGUACUCACUAAGUGCCGACACAAUAAAGGACUUUGUAGUCACAAUGCCAUUAAAACCUCAGAAUAACCUUGAGGGUUAUGGAAAACAGAGACUUCCUUAAGGCUUCAAACCUGGAAAAAGAUGGGGCAGAACCUAUCCAGGUAUAUCAGGGCACCUUCAAACCUCAUUUUUUAGCAGUAUCAUGCCACACUCCAGAAUGCUACAUUUAUCUUUUAUGUAACCAUAGUCUUGCAGGCUUACUUUGGAAUAUCUUCUUUCUUUCAAAUCUUCUUUGAUUCCUUUUAGAUUUUCAAAAACAAUGGUUAUUUUGCAAGCUUUACAUAACUAACUCUUCUGCAAAGAGUAAAAUAAAAUAAAACAUUGCUUUGCCCCCACUAACAUUGUUUCUUCCUUGCCUUUCCGCUGGGACUUGUGAUGACCAGCCAUUUCUGUCUCUUGCACUUUUUUUAAUCUUUUAUCUAUUGCUUUCUCUUUGUACUAUUAAAUAAAAUCUGUUCAUUGGUUAAAAUUCUCUGUAUAAAUCCUCAGAUAUCUACAAUUUAUUUAUUAAAGGAGGGAUCUGGUAGUGUGAUGGCCCCACUCAUACUAGAAAAAAGAAUUCCCAGCGAAUGAAAAAUCUAUAGCAAAUAGUAUAGUUAAUAAAUAUUAGACCUUUUCCUUUUAAAAUUAGGAAAAGUACCAAUAGUAUUUCCUGUGAAUGAUAUUUACAUUUAGUUUUAAGUAGGUAUUCUUGCUGAAUAAAUAAGAAAAAUAAAAUAUGCAAAAAUUAAAAUGGAAGACAUGAAAGCAUUGGUUAUUUGUAUGAUUGUCAACAUUGCAAAUAGAAACGAAUCUGCAAACUAUUCAUCAAUGAUUACAGAAGUCAGCAAGUUUGCAAGAUAAAAGAUUUAUAAAAAGUAUAUAUACAGUUCCUACUAGGAUCGCUUAGAAAAUAGUAAUAAUAAUAUUCCACCUACAAAUUCAUAAAGACUACACAGUCCUUCAAAGCAUACCUAACAGAAGAUAUGCAAUACCUUUAAGGAGAAAAUAAUGCAGAAAUUGUUGAGAGAUAAUGGUUACUUUGCUGUACUGCAGAAAUUGAAAGAACAUUGUAAAUCAACUAUAAUAGAAAAAAAAAUCUUUAAAAAAAGUCUUAAAUGCCCACUCAGUCUCAUCCCUGUAUGAUUCCUCCUCAAAUUGGUCUAUAAAUUCAAGAUCUAAAAUGUCUGCUCUCGCCACUGCUCUUCAACAUAGAUUUGGAAGUCCUAGCCAUGGCAAUCAGAGAAGUAAAAGAAA